AGUAUGUCAUCCAGGUGUUAAUAAGACACAGGUGUAUGUCGUCCAGGUGUUAAUAAGAGACAGGUGUAUGACAUCCAGGUGUUAAUAAGAGACAGGUGUAUGUCGUCCAGGUGUUAAUAAGAGACAGGUACGUCGCACAGGCGAUAAUAAGAGACAGGUGUAUGUCACCAGCUGUUAAUAAGAGACAGGUGUAUGUCGUCCAGGUGUUAAUAAGAGACAGGUGUAUGUCGUCCAGGUGUUAAUAAGAGACAGGUGUAUGACAUCCAGGUGUUAAUAAGGACAGGUGUAUGUCGUCCAGGUGUUAAUAAGAGACAGGUGUGUAUGAC